UGCGUAGGGGGCAAGCGUUGUCCGGAUUUAUUGGGCGUAAAGAGCGUGUAGGCGGCUAUGCAGGUCCGUUGUGAAAACUCGAGGCUCAACCUCGAGACGCCGAUGGAAACCGCAUGGCUAGAGUCCGGAAGAGGAGAGUGGAAUUCCUGGUGUAGCGGUGAAAUGCGCAGAUAUCAGGAAGAACACCCGUGGCUAAGGCGGCUCUCUAGUACGGUACUGACGCUGAGACGCGAAAGCGUGGGGAGCGAACAGG
rnacentral:rRNA from 1 species